rnacentral:rRNA from 1 species
AGCGAACGCUGGCGGUAGGCCUAACACAUGCAAGUCGAACGGCAGCACAGUAAGAGCUCGCUCUUACGGGUGGCGAGUGGCGGACGGGUGAGGAAUACAUCGGAAUCUACUUUUUCGUGGGGGAUAACGUAGGGAAACUUACGCUAAUACCGCAUACGACCUACGGGUGAAAGCAGGGGAUCUUCGGACCUUGCGCGAUUGAAUGAGCCGAUGUCGGAUUAGCUAGUUGGCGGGGUAAAGGCCCACCAAGGCGACGAUCCGUAGCUGGUCUGAGAGGAUGAUCAGCCACACUGGAACUGAGACACGGUCCAGACUCCUACGGGAGGCAGCAGUGGGGAAUAUUGGACAAUGGGCGCAAGCCUGAUCCAGCCAUACCGCGUGGGUGAAGAAGGCCUUCGGGUUGUAAAGCCCUUUUGUUGGGAAAGAAAAGCAGCAGGUUAAUACCCCGCUGUUCUGACGGUACCCAAAGAAUAAGCACCGGCUAACUUCGUG